AUUGAACGCUGGCGGCAGGACUAACACAUGCAAGUCGAGCGGAGCGGCGGACGGGUGAGGAAUGCCUAGGAAUCAACCAGGUAGUGGGGGAUAACGUCCGGAAACGGGCGCAAAUACCGACUACUAACAGAUGAGACUAGGUCGGAUGAGCUGGUUGGUGGGGUAAAGGCCUAACAAGGAGACGAACCGUAACUGGUCUGAGAGGAUGAUCAGUCACACUGGAACUGAGACACGGGCCAGACGCCUACGGGAGGCAGCAGUGGGGAAUAUUGGACAAUGGGCGAAAGCCUGAACCAGCCAUGCCGCGUGUGUGAAGAAGGUCUUCGUAUUGUAAAGCACUUUAAGUUGGGAGGCGUUACCAACAGAAUAAGCACCGGCUAACUUCGGGCCAGCAGCCGCGGUAAUUC
rnacentral:rRNA from 1 species